GGAUGCGAUCAUACCAGCACUAAAGCACCGGAUCCCAUCAGAACUCCGUAGUUAAGCGUGCUUGGGCGAGAGUAGUACUAGGAUGGGUGACCUCCUGGGUAGUCCUCGUGUUGCAUUCC
rnacentral:rRNA from 1 species